GACGAACGCUGGCGGCGCGCCUAACACAUGCAAGUCGAACGAGCGAGAGAGAGUUUGCUUUCUCGAGCGAGUGGCGAACGGGUGAGUAACGCGUGAGGAACCUGCCUCAAAGAGGGGGACAACAGUUGGAAACGACUGCUAAUACCGCAUAAGCCCACAGCUCGGCAUCGAGCAGAGGGAAAAGGAGUGAUCCGCUUUGAGAUGGCCUCGCGUCCGAUUAGCUGGUUGGUGAGGUAACGGCCCACCAAGCCGACGAUCUUUAGCUGGUCUGAGAGGAUGAUCAGCCACACUGGGACUGAGACACGGCCCAA
rnacentral:rRNA from 1 species